AGGAUUACAACUUUAGCUUAGAGUGUAUGAUAGGUACUAUCGGUGCAUGCAAGAUUAGGAGCACAGGACACAUCACUACCUAGUUCGUUAGGGUCAAUACAAAUUUCUCUUCAUCUAGCUAGGACACAUACUAAUGAAGUGAGAUAAUUACUUUUGUGCAUGAAACAGUACUCUCACGAAAGAUAUUAUCAUAUUGAUAA